AAAAUUAUCUCUGACGAUGGGAGAGUUUUUAAAAAAUGGCGUCGGACGGUGGAGACCGUGGUGCUUGCAAAAGAAUCCACGGGACAACGACCGACGGACAACACCCGGGACAUUAGCGUUUACUGAUGAUUUAUGGCGGCUUGGUUGUCUUUCACUUCUAGACAAGAUCUUCUCUGACAGUGCAACAUCUGAACAUGUACAUCGUUUGACAAAGAUGCAAACUAAAUGAGUGCCAGACUGCCAGGUGUGGGGGAACUGUCCUGCGGACAACAGGUCUCCCAUGCCAGAGUGCCAGGUGUGGGGGAACUGUCCUGCGGACAACAGGUCUCCCGUGUGAGACAAGUCUGGAUUUAGGCCACCAUCACCCAACUGUCAAGCUCCACAGCUGUUGAAACCAGAGAUGGAUCAAAGUCUGUGUCAUCAAUGGAUCAAGAUAUCAACCUCUGCCACUCUUCACUAAAGAGGACCGCUUCGGGGAUGUGUGGGUUACAGGAGAGACUGGCUACCACAUAUACAGCCCCAGGCCGGGUCUGUCUCUCUCUCCUCACCUAGCUGUCUGUCUCCUCUCUCCUCACCUAGCUGUCUCUCUCCUCACCUAGCUGUCAGUCUCCUCUCUCCUCACCUAGCUGUCAGUCUCCUCUCUCCUCACCUAGCUGUCUCUCUCCUCUCUCCUCAUAGCUAAUAAUGAUAACUGUAGAUCAGGGCCCGUAUCUACAAAGCGUCUCAAAGUAGGAGGGCUGAUCUAGCAUCAGUUUGAUCAUGAUUCAUAAUGUAUAGACAGAUCCUGGAUCAGAUUGUAUAGACAGAUCCUAGAUCAGAAUGAAUCAGAUUGUAUAGACCGGUCCUAGAUCAGAAUGAAUCAGAUUGUAUAGACAGGUCCUAGAUCAGAAUGAAUCAGAUUGUAUAGACAGGUCCUAGAUCAGAAUGAAUCAGAUUGUAUAGACAGGUCCUAGAUCAGCAUUCUUACUCUCCACCACUCCUUGUAGUUUGAGCCUAUUUCUUUCAUAACUAGGGGUCAAACGGGAAUUGUGUCGUCUUACCGCCCAAUUUGACCUCUACUCUUCUGUUGUCUGAACCAAGGCAAUUCACCAUUUUUUAUAAUCAAUUUAUCUAGGUAUAGAUCUAGAUGUACUGGGAUCAGUGGUUUGUUGUUUUUCCUGAAUGCCCUUAUCCCCAACCUUUUACAAAUAUAGUAAAACUUUCAGUAGACAUUGUAGCAAGGAUCUGGUGUAGACCCCUGUAAUCUCGCACGCCAGACAUUACAGCCUCACAGUAAAGUUUUGUCUUUGAAGUAUUAUGCAAUAUUCUGAGACACUCAUCUGGCUCUGUGAGAUUAGAUUAGCAGCCACGUGAUUGGUUGAAAGCUGGAAAUAUCUCUCUACCUCAUUGACAUGUUUGGCACCAUGACAGUUGGUGCUUUUCGACAUGAUGAAAACGCCGUAGAGGCCAACAGAACACUAGUCCCGGUCCUACAGAGGUUAAUGAAUUACAUGCCUUCCUUUAAACUUCACGUCAUAUAAAAUACGUACCAUUAAAACCUACUGUACCAAAAUUCACAGGACACAAUUCAUACUUCGCCCUGCUCCUCCCCUUUUUCCCAGAAUGAUUUCGAUAACCUUGUCAACAGGGUGUAUGACUGGUAUGAACCAAAUCAGGGUAGAUGUAGUUAGUUAGGGCCAGUCACUGUGUGCUGUGCCCCAGAUAUCCUUUUGUUGUUUUUCUGACCUGUUUUGGUUGUAACAUUUGAUCCACCUUCCUUCCGGGAUCUGUGCAAUAUGCUAUCUCAUAACCUGUCUUGUCUAUCUAAUAUGUAAUAUUGUAUGAACAAGUGACAAGUUGUUUUGAAAACAACAAAAUCACCAACGUCUUCCAUUUUUAAGAAAUAUUGUACUCUUCAUAUGCAUUAGCUUUAUAUAGAGGGAUUGUGGUGCCCAAUAUUAUAACUAGACACACAUGAAAAGUAGCUAGUGAUGCUUGCUUACUAAAAGAGAAUUGUAGAGAAAUCGAUUUCUAAAAACAGACGGAACAAGUUCGGCUACUAAGUGGGAGAUUUGAAUUGAAAAUAUCUAUUCAGAUUGAGAAAAUGUAUAACAUCCUAUUCUAAACCGUUUUCUAUAGAAUGAACACUUAAAGAAUCAGACAUGAAGCAUGUUAGUCAUUGACCAAUAAAAUAAAUCGGUAAUAUCAGUAUACUGUAAUAUACCCGUAGAAUGAUACCUCAGUCUGGAAUGCAAACUGUUUUUGUUCAGAAUAUAUUUAGUAAAAAAAAAUAAAGCAAGCCAUAACAUGUAUUUGAUUAGACAUUUUCUAGAAGCAAUAACAAUUAUGCAUGAUUUGUAUUUUUAUCUAUUAUAAUCGGUUUUUUAAAGGAAUUUUUAGGAUAUUAUUAGCUAUAAUCAACCUUUUGUUUAGAGGGAAGAGUAUUGAAUAUACUCCUGCUUUAGAAUCUAGUAUGUUCUAAGGAAGAACCACUCAGCUGGACAUAAAAUACCACACAGAAACAAAGGGCGGCAGGGUAGCCUAGUGGUUAGAGUGUAGAGGCGGCAGGGCAGCCUAGUGGUUAGAGUGUAGAGGCAUAGGGGCGCCUAGUGGUUAGAGUGUAGAGGUGACAGGGUAGCCUAGUGGUUAGAGUGUAGUGGCGCCUAGUGGUUAGUGUAGAGGCGGCAGGGUAGCCUAGUGGUUAGAGUGUAGUGGCAUAGGGGCGCCUAGUGGUUAGUGUAGAGGCGGCAGGGUAGCCUAGUGGUUAGAGCGUUGGACUAGUAACCAAAAGGUUGCAAGAUCAAAUCCCUGAGCUGACAAGGUAAAAAAAAAUCUGUCGUUCUGCCCCUGAACAAGGCAGUUAACCCACUGUUCCUAGACCAGUUAACCCACUGUUCCUAUGCCAGUUAACCCACUGCUCCUAGACCAGUUAACCCACUGUUCCUAGACCAGUUAACCCACUGUUCCUAGACCAGUUAACCCACUGUUCCCCGGCUAGGCCGUCAUUGAAAAUAAUCUUAACUGACUUGCCUAGUUAAAUAAAAAAAACUGAAAGGCUGCAUUUUGGAUUGGCAAAAACAAGUGUGUAUUCUUGGGGAAACUCUAUUCAGGCUUGUCCUAAACUACAUUUUUUUUUGGGGGGGGGGUGUUCUGGUCAAAAGUAUACAGAAUCGGGUCCCGUUUGGGACAGAGCAUCAGAUUAAUGCGUUCUGUAAGAACCAUUGAUUUUUAGGUUGCCUAUUUUAAUGCCUCUUGUUUUUUCCCCUCUGUUACUUUGUUCCACCAUUGUUGUCCAGAUCAAACUAUCAUGUAUUACAUGUCUAUUAUGCAUCUUUCCUAAUAACUGAAAGCAAAUAGAUGCCUCAAGGAGAACACUGGAAAGCAUGUUAUUGCUACCAUCCCUCCUGUCUCGAAUACUGUGUUUCAAAACUAUUUGUAAUGUGGCAAAUGGUCCAGAUCACAGAAAGAUUAUGCAUGAUUUAAGUAAAAGUCAUUUGUAUUGCAUGCAAUAAUAAACGUUUCAUUUGUGUUGCUCAAUAGAACCAUGAUACUGAUAAUGUUUGCUAUUAGUACAUUGACGUAUCUUUGCAUCAACAGGGAUCGUUGUUGACAUUUACAGGGAACCCAUUGUAAUGUUCUGAUCAAAAUGACUUUUGAUGUACAAUGUUGACCAUAGCCUGAACACCCAGUCAGGUUGUACUAUCAUUUCACACCAUGGAGUGGAAUGAUGGCACAAAGACUGUAUUGAUCAACUCGUAAACCAACAGAAUGAGCGUACUGUGGUUUAACUAUGCAGUCCAGAGGCCCUGGACAUGCUGAAACCAGUCUCUUGUCUUGUAUCAACUGAAUUAAUCUACAAUAAAUAGCAACAUGGUGCCAAUAAACUUA